rnacentral:rRNA from 1 species
CCUACGGGUGGCAGCAGUGGGGGAUAUUGCACAAUGGGGGGAACCCUGAUGCAGCGACGCCGCGUGGGUGAAGAAGCGCCUCGGCGCGUAAAGCCCUGUCAGCAGGGAAGAAAAUGACGGUACCUGAAGAAGAAGCCCCGGCUAACUACGUGCCAGCAGCCGCGGUAAUACGUAGGGGGCAAGCGUUAUCCGGAUUUACUGGGGGUAAAGGGGGCGCAGACGGGGAUGCAAGCCAGGAGUGAAAGCCCGGGGCCCAACCCCGGGACUGCUCCUGGAAAUUGGUGGCUGGAGUGCAGGAGGGGCAGGCGGAAUUCCUGGUGGAGCGGGGAAAAGGG